CAUUAACCCAAGCAGUACGUUGUUAAGAGACAAGGUGGCUCAGUGUGACCAAGGCAGGAGGUGAGGCUGGCUGGUGUCUGAAGCCUAGUCCUGCUGGGGCCGGUUGAGAGCUCCUGGAGGGCAGGGCCAUGUCUUGCUCAUCAGUGCCAUCAUGUGGAGCAGGCCCUCACUUUGCGCCAGGCAAGGCUGGGUCCUGGGGACACGGGGGUGGGGGGGGCGGCACUCUGGGAAUGAGUGUUGAGUGAUUGGCUCUGCAGCAGACUCCCAGAGCUGUCCCAGAACCAUCGAGCACCAGAGUUCUUUCUGGAUGAAGUCUUCUAAAAAAUGGUUGUGAGCAUAGUCAACAUAGCAGACUGGUCAGGGCCCAACAUCAUGGGUUCAGUUCAUGGGGCCAGCAGCCCUAAGCCAACCCUGGCCCUUGCCUCCCUCUUGUCCUCCACCACCAUUCCUCUUGCAGAGCCUUACCCAGGCCCACCACACCGCUUCUCCGUUACCUCUUUCUCCCAAGGUCCUCACACACCGGGAGGCGGGAUGAGUUUAAGUGACUCAACCAAGACCACACAGUAAGAGGAGAAAUGUUGAUUUUUUCAAAUAAAAAAAAAAUUUUUAAGAUUCUAUUUAUUGGA
rnacentral:lncRNA from 1 species